GUUAAAAUAACCAAUUCAAGCAAAUCAUAAAAUUCUCUUAUUUAAAAGAACCACUUCCAAAUUUUCAUUCAAAUCAUUCGAGAUUACAUUUGUAUAUUUUGUUACCUUUUUUAAAAGAACCACUUCCAAAUUUUCGAACAAAUCAUAAAGUCUCUCUUUGGAAGGAGUUAAUAUGCUGCCUUAGUUAAAUCCCCAUUUUUUUUUGGAAAUCCGAAUGUAAUCAAGCGUAACAGACUGACCACAUACAUAAUCUGAUCCUAUUUUUUGAAAUCCGAAAAUCUUAUAGUAUAAUAUUAUGACCAGUGGCAUUUGUUUGUAAUUAUUCUAGUUGAUAAAUGACUUUUUUAAAAAGAAGGUGAGAGUGAAUGUGGUGAUGACACCUAAGAAAUGACACUCAUGUAAUAAACACAUGAAGUCAAUGUUAUUUUUUAUCAAUGCUCCUCAAUUAAUAAUAAAGGGAUAUACACAUAUUAUUUGAUAAAAUCAUAAAUGAUGACUUCAGUGGGGCUUUUAUUGUUCAUUGAAUAUGUUCCUUUUGUUACUCUCUGAUCAGCCUUUGCCAUUCUCACCUGAAAAUCAAGGAAACAAUGCCCAAACAUUGACACCUCUUGGAGACGAAGGCUUUUGCAACAAGGCGACUUCAAUCCAUCAGAUCAUCGUGAAUCUCUUUGAGUUUUCAAUUUUCAUGAGGAAAGUUCGUGGUGGUGGCAGUCAGGGUCGUAGUAUUCGCCUUCCUGUCCCUUGUUGUGGUGGUUCAAUUCGUUAGCUACUACUCAACCUUCUCUUUCGAUAGUGUCCCGUUCCACGGUCGUGCUCGUGAGCGAUCAUGAGUCUUGUUGAUGUUCUUCAUCUUCUAAUUAUUAUUUUUGGUCUUUUUAUUUUGUGAUAUGUAUUAAUUUGAUCAGUGCUGUCUUUGUUCUCAUUUUAUUGGUAAUAUAUAUUCAGUAUGCGUUUUAAGUGAAUAAUCAUUUUGAAAUAAUUUAUUUAAACAUAUGAUCUUAUAUUAUAUUCUCAAAUCUCAAUGCAGUGGCGAGGAGUUUUAGAGUGGUUAAUUGUUACGUGUUGUGCACUACAUCAGAUUAAUUAGGAUCGAAUGAUGACUUUCACCUAAUGCAUCAUUACUUAAUCACGCAUAGAAUAUAGAGAAAAUUACUUUAUGAGUUAUCAAUUACACAUGUACAUUAGAAAAUCUGUAACAUAGAUGUUGAAUUUGAAGAGAAUAAGAAAGCAAGAAUGAAUCAUACUUUAAACCAAUGUUGAACAAAUCAUACUUUAUAGUUAUACCAAACACAGACUAGAUUGUUCAUUGCUCAAAGAACAUAUUCCUCUCGUCAUUCAUUACCGGGCAAUAUAAAUUUCAAAUAAUCUGAGAACGCUAGUAGGACCCUCCUGUAGAGAAUAAGUAUAUAUAUGAUACAGUAUUUAUACUGAUUACAUAGAGUAUUCUAGGUAUAAUACAAUUACUAAAAGACCCUUAUAUACUUAUUCUCUACACCUCCAUGGGCCCAUGGCAUCAGGCAACCAUACAUGAAGAAAACAUAUGAAAAGUGAAAGAAGCAAGGUCAGGUGGGACUGUGAGAAUCAAAGUUUACCCGACAAUAACUGCUUUUGCUUUUUUAUCCAUAUCAAAUUAUCAAUCUUUGUUCUGUCUCUGAGUUGUAAUCUUCCACCUUAAGGUUAUGAUAUCUCUAUUUUUUUUUCUUUGUGUGGAUGUGUAUCCCUAUAUGUUCUAGUACUCAGUGAUUAACUCAAAGAUCAUCUCAAAAACAAUUUCAAUGAAGAGAUACUGUCGAGAUUUGUUGCUAAUCAUCACCAUCUUCUUCAUCACCUUUGCUUUUGCCGAAGAGCUUCAAUGUUGUUCAGACAAAACAACCGACUUGGUUCACAAAGAGAGACUAGUGAUCAGUGGCAAGAGAGCUCAUGGAAGCAUUUCACAAAUGAGCAGGGCAAGAGGUGUUUAUGGAGGUGGAUCUCUUAUCAGACCUAAAGGAAAAAAGAACAUAGCCAUGGCAUCCAUGACUAAAUCUGCUUCACUUGCAAUGCUUCAAGUAACAUUUGCAAUUCUGAUCCAUCUUUUCUUGUACUGAAAUGUAAAAAAUCUUUAAUAAAUAUUUUCUUGAUGAGCAAA